rfam:Mus musculus chromosome X, GRC primary reference assembly.
CCCCCCAGCAAUGGGCAAAGAGACGCCUUGUUGGUGGUGUUCUUAUAUCAGUCCUGGGCAAAGCACAGGACAGUUAUAUGUUCAUCUUAACUUGAUGCCUGGCUCAGUGGUCAAAGCUGUUUUAUGCCUGGGACUCAUAA